GAUGAACGCUGGCGGCGUGCCUAAUACAUGCAAGUCGAGCGAACAGACGAGGAGCUUGCUCCUCUGACGUUAGCGGCGGACGGGUGAGUAACACGUGGAUAACCUACCUAUAAGACUGGGAUAACUUCGGGAAACCGGAGCUAAUACCGGAUAAUAUAUUGAACCGCAUGGUUCAAUAGUGAAAGACGGUUUUGCUGUCACUUAUAGAUGGAUCCGCGCCGCAUUAGCUAGUUGGUAAGGUAACGGCUUACCAAGGCAACGAUGCGUAGCCGACCUGAGAGGGUGAUCGGCCACACUGGAACUGAGACACGGUCCAGACUCCUACGGGAGGCAGCAGUAGGGAAUCUUCCGCAAUGGGCGAAAGCUUGACGGAGCAACGCCGCGUGAGUGAUGAAGGUCUUCGGAUCGUAAAACUCUGUUAUUAGGGAAGAACAAAUGUGUAAGUAACUAUGCACGUCUUGACGGUACCUAAUAAGAAAGCCACGGCUAACUACGUG
rnacentral:rRNA from 1 species